rnacentral:rRNA from 1 species
CAGUAGCCGCGGUAAGACAGAGGAUGCAAGCGUUAUCUGGAAUGAUUGGGCGUAAAGCGUGCGUAGGCGGCUUCUUAAGUCGGAUGUGAAAUCCCUGAGCUUAACUUAGGAAUUGCAUUCGAUACUGGGAAGCUAGAGUAUGGGAGAGGAUGGUAGAAUUCCAGGUGUAGCGGUGAAAUGCGUAGAGAUCUGGAGGAAUACCGAUGGCGAAGGCAGCCAUCUGGCCUAAUACUGACGCUGAGGUACGAAAGCAUGGGGAGCAAACAGGAUUAGAUACCCCGGUAGUCCCUGUCUCUUAUAC